rnacentral:rRNA from 1 species
UACGUAGGGUGCGAGCGUUGUCCGGAAUUAUUGGGCGUAAAGAGCUCGUAGGCGGUGUGUCACGUCGGCCGUGAAAACCUGCGGCUCAACUGCAGGCUGGCGGUCGAUACGGGCAGGCUGGAGUUCGGUAGGGGAGACUGGAAUUCCUGGUGUAGCGGUGAAAUGCGUAGAGAUCGGGAGGAACACCAGUGGCGAAGGCGGCCAUCUGGAUCAACACUGACGCUGAGGCACGAAAGCGUGGGGAGCAAACAGG